rnacentral:piRNA from 1 species
UGGUCUGCUGACUUGAUGGAAGAUC